AGUUGCCAUCGAUGGGAAGUCGGGCACUCUAGGGGGACCGCUGGCGCUAAGCCAGAGGCCCCAGAGGGCAACGGUAGGUCCGUAUGCCCCGAAUCCCCGGGGCUACACGCGGGUCGCAAUGCGCAGGACAAUGGGAUUUAACGUCGUAAGAGGAAGCCAAUCUCCUAAACCUGCGCUCGGUUCGGAUCGAGGGCUGUAACUCGCCCUCGUGAAGCUGGAAUCCCUAGUAAUCGCGUGCCACACGCCGGUGAAUACGUCCCUGCUCCUUGCACAC
rnacentral:rRNA from 1 species